AGGAACCACCUGUUUUCUGGGGCUGUGGCCUGCAGCCUUAGGAACAGUGCUUUGCUCUGGGGGAAGCUAAAAGUUGCAAUGGGGCUAAGCUAAGAGCAGCAACUCCAUGGCUCAGCCUCCUGAGCCUUGUGCUCUAUUUGAUGAGAUAAUCCACAGCUGCCUGGUGCAAAGUCAAGAACCGGAGAAGAGAAACAGAGAUUGCUGACCUUCUCCGUGGGCCACCAGAGUCCAGCCUGCAUGUGCAGGCUCUCCCUCCAGCACACAGGUUGCUCCUGCAGGGCUCAGCCCCAGCAACGCUGAGAGGGUGAAACUGGCCACCUACCUCUCCCUCUGAUUCCCACCCUGGAUGCCCUGUGUCCCAGGACCCCUGUAACAUUCUCCCACCCUAAGUAAUCAUCUCUGGACCUUGCCACCUGAUCAUGCCAUUAAAUUCCCCUAAUGCCA
ensembl:lncRNA novel transcript